rnacentral:rRNA from 1 species
GAUGAACGCUGGCGGCGUGCUUAAUACAUGCAAGUCGAGCGAACAGAUGAGGAUUUUGUUGGUCUCACGUUAGCGGCGGACGGGAGAGUAACGCGUGUAUAACCCACUUAUAAUACUGGUAAAACUUCGGGAAACGGGAUCUAACACCGGAUAAUCUACUGAAGCGCAUGGUUCAUUAGUGAAAUACGGCUUUGGUGUCACGUAUAGAUGCAUCCGCGCCGCAUUAGCUAGUUGGUAAGGUACCGGCCUACCAAGGCAACGAUGCGUAGCCGAACUGAGAGGAUGAGCGGCCGCACUGGGAGUGAGACACGGUCCAGAGGCCUACGGGAGGGACCAGUAGGGAUACUGCCGGAAGGGGCGGAGGCCUGAGGGAGCAGCGCCGCGGGAGUGAGGAGGGUCGUCGGGUCGUGAAACUCUGUUAUUGGGGAGGAACAAAUGUGUGAGUAACUAGGAACGUCUGGACGGGACCUGAGCAAAGAGCCACGGCUUACUACGUG